UUCAUCCUUGUUCUGUUAAGAUAUCUCUGAUAAGGGCUAUAGCUUAGUUCGGUAGAGCAACUCAUUUACACGUGUGGCAAUGCUUUUCAAAGGAGCUUAUUUUGCAAUGAACAUAACAGGGGUCAAGGUCGACCAGUGAGACGAUGGGGGAUAAGCUUCAUCGUCGAGAGGGAAACAGCCCGGAUCACCAGCUAAGGCCCCUAAAUGACCACUCAGUGAUAAAGGAGGUGGGGGUGCAAAGACAGCCAGGAGGUUUGCCUAGAAGCAGCCACCCUUUAAAGAGUGCAUAAUAGCUCACAGGUCGAGCACCCUUGCGCUGAAGAUGAACGGGGCUAAGCGAUCUGCCGAAGCUGUGGGAUGUCAAAAUGCAUCGGUAGGGGAGCAUUCCGCCUUAGAGGGAAGCAACCGCGAAAGCAGGGGUCGACGAAGUGGAAGCG
rnacentral:rRNA from 1 species